rnacentral:rRNA from 1 species
AUUGAACGCUGGCGGCAGGCCUAACACAUGCAAGUCGAACGAGUGGCGGACGGGUGAGUAAUGUCUGGGACACUGCCUGAUGGAGGGGGAUCACUACUGGAAGCGGUAGCUAAUACCGCAUACCAUCAGAUGUGCCCAGAUGGGAUUAGCUAGUAGGUGGGGUAAUGGCUCCCCUAGGCGACGAUCCCUAGCUGGUCUGAGAGGAUGACCAGCCACACUGGGACUGAGACACGGCCCAGACUCCUACGGGAGGCAGCAGUGGGGAAUAUUGCACAAUGGGCGCAAGCCUGAUGCAGCCAGGCCGCGUGUGUGAAGAAGGCCUUAGGGGUGUAAAGCACUUUCAGCGGGGAGGCGUUACCCGCAGAAGAAGCACCGGCUAACUCCGUGCCAGCAGCCGCGGUAAUAC